rnacentral:rRNA from 1 species
AGAGUUUGAUCAUGGCUCAGGAUGAACGCUGGCGGCGUGCCUAACACAUGUAAGUCGAACGUGAGGGUUAGCAAUAACCUGAAAGUGGCGGACGGGUGAGUAACGCGUAGAUAACCUGCCUUGGCGUGGGGGAUAACCACUGGAAACGGUGGCUAACACCGCAUGGUUCUGUCGAGUGGGGACACUGGACGGAUAAAAUUUUAUGCGCCAAGAGGGGUCUGCGUCCGAUUAGCUAGUUGGUGGGGUAAAAGCCUACCAAGGCAUCGAUCAGUAGCUGGUCUGAGAGGAUGACCAGCCACACUGGGACUGAGACACGGCCCAGACUCCUACGGGAGGCAGCAGUGGGGAAUUUUCCGCAAUGGGCGAAAGCCUGACGGAGCAAGACCGCGUGAGGGAGGAAGGCUCUUGGGUCGUAAACCUCUUUUGUCAGGGAAGAACAAAAUGACGGUACCUGACGAAUCAGCAUCGGCUAACUCCGUGCCAGCAGCCGCGGUAAUACGGAGGAUGCAAGCGUUAUCCGGAAUUAUUGGGCGUAAAGCGUCCGCAGGUGGCUGAUCAAGUCUGCGGUCAAAGACCGGGGCUUAACCCUGGAAAGGCCGUGGAAACUGAUCAAGCUAGAGUACCGUAGGGGUAGAGGGAAUUCCCGGUGUAGCGGUGAAAUGCGUAGAGAUCGGGAAGAACAUCGGUGGCGAAAGCGCUCUACUGGACGGUGACUGACACUCAGGGACGAAAGCUAGGGGAGCGAAUGGGAUUAGAUACCCCCGUAGUCC